CGCGCCGCCGCUUCCUCCGCUCGCGGCCCCGGAUGCGCCGAGCGGAGCGGCGCCGCCUCGACCCCCGCCCCCAGCCCUCGGCCGGACGCGGCAGGAGUGCUGUCCGGGCCCGGAAUAUCAUGUCAUAUCCGUGACCGGCGCUGCGUGACCCUUGGGUCUGUGUCUGCCCCUGGCGUCUCAAGACUCGUCGUGGUGCGGGUCUGUCAUUUCGGUCCUUACAUCGCCAAGGCUGCUCCAGUGUUGUGUCCUGUCGCCGGGUGAAGGAGAACAUUAAGUUGGAUUA